GAUGAACGCUGGCGGCGUGCCUAAUACAUGCAAGUCGAGCGAACAGACGAGGAGCUUGCUCCUCUGACGUUAGCGGCGGACGGGUGAGUAACACGUGGAUAACCUACCUAUAAGACUGGGAUAACUUCGGGAAACCGGAGCUAAUACCGGAUAAUAUAUUGAACCGCAUGGUUCAAUAGUGAAAGACGGUUUUGCUGCCACUUAUAGAUGGAUCCGCGCCGCAUUAGCUAGUUGGUAAGGUAACGGCUUACCAAGGCGACGAUGCGUAGCCGACCUGAGAGGAUGAUCGGCCACACUGGAACUGAGACACGGUCCAGACUCCUACGGGAGGCAGCAGUAGGGAAUCUUCCGCAAUGGGCGGAAGCCUGACGGAGCAACGCCGCGUGAGUGAUGAAGGUCUUCGGAGCGUAAAACUCUGUUAUUAGGGAAGAACAAAUGUGUAAGUAACUAUGCACGUCUUGACGGUACCUAAUCAGAAAGCCACGGCUAACUACGUG
rnacentral:rRNA from 1 species